UACGUAGGGUGCAAGCGUUGUCCGGAAUUAUUGGGCGUAAAGAGCGUGUAGGCGGCCCGAUUAGUCCGCUGUGAAAGUCCAGGGCUCAACCCUGGAAUGCCGGUGGAUACUGUCGGGCUAGAGUCCGGAAGGGGCGAGUGGAAUUCCUGGUGUAGCGGUGAAAUGCGCAGAUAUCAGGAGGAACACCAAUGGCGAAGGCAGCUCGCUGGGACGUGACUGACGCUGAGACGCGAAUGCGUGGGGAGCGAACAGG
rnacentral:rRNA from 1 species